GAGUUUGAUCCUGGCUCAGGAUGAACGCUGGCGGUAUGCUUAACACAUGCAAGUCGAACGGUCACUUCGGUGAUAGUGGCGGACGGGUGAGUAACGCGUGAGAAUCUGGCUCUAGGUUCGGGACAACCACGGGAAACGGUGGCUAAUACCGGAUGUGCCGAGAGGUAAAAGGCUUGCUGCCUAGAGAUGAGCUCGCGUCUGAUUAGCUAGUUGGUGGGGUAAGAGCCCACCAAGGCGACGAUCAGUAGCUGGUCUGAGAGGAUGAUCAGCCACACUGGGACUGAGACACGGCCCAGACUCCUACGGGAGGCAGCAGUGGGGAAUUUUCCGCAAUGGGCGAAAGCCUGACGGAGCAAUACCGCGUGAGGGAGGAAGGCUCUUGGGUUGUAAACCUCUUUUCUCAAGGAAUAAAAUAUGAAGGUACUUGAGGAAUAAGCAUCGGCUAACUCCGUGCCAGCAGCCGCGGUAAUACGGAGGAUGCAAGCGUUAUCCGGAAUGAUUGGGCGUAAAGCGUCCGCAGGUGGUAAUGCAAGUCUGCUGUCAAAGAAUCAGGCUCAACCUGAUAGAGGCGGUGGAAACUGCAUAACUAGAGUGCGUUCGGGGCAGAAGGAAUUCCUGGUGUAGCGGUGAAAUGCGUAGAUAUCAGGAAGAACACCGGUGGCGGAAGCGUUCUGCUAGGCCGUAACUGACACUGAGGGACGAAAGCUAGGGGAGCGAAUGGGAUUAGAUACCCCAGUAGUCCUAGCUGUAAACGAUGGAUUCUAGGUGUUGCUUGUAUCGACCCGAGCAGUACCGUAGCUAACGCGUUAAGUAUCCCGCCUGGGGAGUACGCACGCAAGUGUGAAAC
rnacentral:rRNA from 1 species